rnacentral:rRNA from 1 species
GAUGAACGCUGGCGGCGUGCCUAAUACAUGCAAGUCGAGCGAACAGACGAGGAGCUUGCUCCUCUGACGUUAGCGGCGGACGGGUGAGUAACACGUGGAUAACCUACCUAUAAGACUGGGAUAACUUCGGGAAACCGGAGCUAAUACCGGAUAAUAUAUUGAACCGCAUGGUUCAAUAGUGAAAGACGGUUUUGCUGUCACUUAUAGAUGGAUCCGCGCCGCAUUAGCUAGUUGGUAAGGUAACGGCUUACCAAGGCAACGAUGCGUAGCCGACCUGAGAGGGUGGUCGGCCACACUGGAACUGAGACACGGUCCAGACUCCUACGGGAGGCAGCAGUAGGGAAUCUUCCGCAAUGGGCGAAAGCCUGACGGAGCAACGCCGCGUGAGUGAUGAAGGUCUUCGGAUCGUAAAACUCUGUUAUUAGGGAAGAACAAAUGUGUAAGUAACUAUGCACGUCUUGACGGUACUUAAUCAGAAAGCCACGGCUAACUACGUG